GUACUAAUGGUCUAUUUAAAUGAGACAGAAACGAAAGUAGGGAGAUUGGUCGAGGAGGAUGGGUGGGCAUAAUCUGUGACAGUCUAGCAAUCCAAAUGUUGCAUGUUCGAGUCGCGUCGGGGACAACUGUAGCAUUGUAGUUAACCCUUCCCGUAACCCUUACUCUAAACUUAACCCAAUUCACCUAACCUGCUACAUAAAUUCACAUAACCAAGGUAAAUUCUCCUCUAAUUAUCAUUUGGUGUCUUAGAUAAAGACGUGCAAUACUAUCCUCCAAGACGUAUGAUAAGUUACAUUAUCCAAUUCGUAUGCUAUUGUACAACCGGGUAAGAGGUAUGAUACUAUACGUCCUCUAAUUCGUAUGAUAUUGUACGACCGCUAUUCCAUUUAUAAUCUAACAUAUACUAAAUGGAGUGUCACACAUUUACUUACAAACAAAUAUAAAUUGCCCUGAGAUCACGUUGGCAGUUGAUGGGAUCUCAAGCUUGACUGGUUUACAAUGGCCUCCUGUUUGGAUGUUGUUGCUAUUGCACUACUGUCACAGAUCGCUGGUCACAGUGAAGGGCGACAAGAUGGAGGCCCCUGCCAGACAACACUCAUAAAUCCUGAAUGACGCAGAUUGAAAAGACCUACAGCUAAGGCCAUUAGAAUCGAUGGAAGAACUGGGAACACGGACACAGAGUCAUGUUAACGCAAUCUCCCAGAGAGGGUGCAAGAUGGCCGAUGGCGAGAUGACGUGAGGCAGAAAGAAGGGCUAGAUGUUCAAACUCUCACUGACAUCUGUGAAAUACAAG
ensembl:lncRNA